GGAAGUUAGGGGGGACAGUUGGUCAAUGAGGAGAAAAGGAAGCAGCCACAGACAGUUGAGGAACUUUUGCCUCUGGGAUCUCUAGAGAGCAGGAGGUCUGUCUCUGAGGCAAGGAUCUGCUGACAGUUGGCUACUGACAGUUGGGUUGCUAUAGAAAACAGAUUGAAGGAGUGAGUGAUAUGCAUGGUGAAAUUCUGCCACUGCUGCCUAUGAGUCACUCUCUGAAGCAAUGAAGCACAGUGGAGGACAUGGACCUGCUGACAGGGAGUGGAGGCCUAAGCCAAGUUCUUGAGGUACUCACCCAGUCUCCAGCAGAGAGGUGGCAUUUCCACUGAGAGUAGAGCCAAAAAAAUUGACAGGAGAGAGGAUGGAGCACAGGAGACAAUCUUAUGAAUAUGAGCUAGGGAAGGGCUGCUUGGUGUAAUGCACUUCACAGGACUUGGAGUGAAGAAAGAUGUGACCUAGAAUCCUACCAGAGAUCCAUCCUAGCUGGGUAACCACUGACAACUUGUCUGGGCUUCGGUUUUCUCAACUAAAAAAUGGAGGAAAUCUCCCCGGUCAUCUCAAUUCUCAGGAUUUCUUCUCCGGUCUCAAUUCUUUACCAUCUCUUUCAAAUACAGUAUGGAUUCUCCUUCAACUUUGCAGCUGCUGUUAAAGAUCAUGGUAGAACCAACUAGAAUGGACUUGAGCUAAAGACCAGGCCUAGGGGGAGUUUUAAAACAGACAUGAGAAGCCUUGGGUUCAAGAAGACAUAGAGAGCAUCCAGAAGGAAGUAAGAAGCCCCCAACCCAAGAAUCCAGCUCAAUUCCAGCCACAGGAUUUUUAGAAGAUGAGAGCAAAUGUCUACGUGUGGAAUGGGCUUAGAGUAGCCAUCACAAUAGCAUGACAAAAUUUUAGAGUAACAGAUUUUGAGUUGGAAGGAUUCAUUCACUCCUCUUAUUUUUUAGGUAAAGACGAUUUCUGGAUUACUGAAGAAUAAAGAUAUUACUAGAC